rnacentral:rRNA from 1 species
UGGGGAAUUUUGGACAAUGGGGGAAACCCUGAUCCAGCCAUCCCGCGUGUGCGAUGAAGGCCUUCGGGUUGUAAAGCACUUUUGGCAGGAAAGAAACGUCGCGGGUUAAUACCCCGCGAAACUGACGGUACCUGCAGAAUAAGCACCGGCUAACUACGUGCCAGCAGCCGCGGUAAUACGUAGGGUGCAAGCGUUAAUCGGAAUUACUGGGCGUAAAGCGUGCGCAGGCGGUUCGGAAAGAAAGAUGUGAAAUCCCAGAGCUUAACUUUGGAACUGCAUUUUUAACUACCGGGCUAGAGUGUGUCAGAGGGAGGUGGAAUUCCGCGUGUAGCAGUGAAAUGCGCAGAUAUGCGGAGGAACACCGAUGGCGAAGGCAGCCUCCUGGGAUAACACUGACGCUCAUGCACGAAAGCGUGGGGAGCAAACAGGAUUAGAUACCCUGGUAGUCCACGCCCUAAACGAUGUCAACUAGCUGUUGGGGCCUUCGGGCCUUGGUAGCGCAGCUAACGCGUGAAGUUGACCGCCUGGGGAGUACGGUCGCAAGAUUAAAACUUAAAGGAAUU